rnacentral:lncRNA from 1 species
GCCAUAUUUUGCUAAUCCUCUCCCCAGCCCUAGGAGAUUAAUCUUGAAGAGUCUAAAUGGAUCGUGGUCAUUCCAUUCUCCUUGUUGGAAUCAAUAAAAUCUCCAGACCAGUGUCUCUGGGGGAACCCAGUGCCUGGAGGAUAAGGACCAAAAGAAGCUUUACUUUUCCCUUAAUACCUUUUUGAACUCCGAAUUUUGCAACAAGAACAUGAAAAUUAGCCCUGAGUUAACAUCCACUGCCAAUGCUCCUGUUUGCUGAGGAAGACUGGCCCUGAGCCAUCAUCCAUGCCCAUCUUCCUCUCCCUCAUAUGUGGGACGCCUGCCACAGCAUGGCUUGAUAAGUCACACUAGGUCCGCACCCAGGAUUCGAACCAGCAAACCCUGGGCCACCAAAGUGCGACUACGCAGAAUGGUUAAGAAGCUGACGACUCUGUCAGGCAAACGAGUUCAAAUUCUGUCUCUGUCACUCCUUACCAGAUAUAUGACCUCAGGAAGAUUAGCCCUGAGCUAACUGCUGCCAAUCCUCCUCUUUUUGCUGAGGAAGACUGGCCCUGAGCGAACAUCCAUGCACAUCUUCCUCUACUUUACAUGUGGGACGCCUGCCACAGCAUGGCUUGACAAGAGGUACCAUGUCCGCACCCAGGAUCCGAACUGGAGAACCCUGGGCCGCUGAAGCAGAACACGCAAACUUAACCGCUGCGCCACUGGCCCGGCCCCCACGUGUGUGGCUUGCCAAGCAGUGCCAUGUCCGCAGCCGGGAUCCGAAGUGGCGAACUCCCAGGCCGCCGAAUUGGAACGUGCGAACUUAGCUGCUGCGCCACAGAGCCGACCCCCUGGAUAAUGUUUUCUUAAGUAAGGUAAAAACAAGAGACUGUUUGAACACUCUGAACUGGACUCCAUGAAAGAAGGUUUAAAAAGAUUUCACUCAGCUAUUGCUGCCACUAGAAUAAUUACUGGAGAAAUGAGUUACAAAUGCUUCACGCAGAACUACUAAAUACCAGAUAAGUAGUCGCUGAUUACAAAAAAAUAAGCUGAUUGCAGGCUGCUUUAUAAUGAAGAUGUUUUACUGAGAGGAGG